CGGUGGAUGAUGUGGUUUAAUUCGAUGCAACGCGAAAACCUUACCACCUUUGACAUGUACGGAACCCUUUAGAGAUAGAGGGUGCUCGAAGAGAGCCGUAACACAGGUGCUGCAUGGCUGUCGUCAGCUCGUGUCGUGAGAUGUUGGGUUAAGUCCCGCAACGAGCGCAACCCUUGUCAUUAGUUGCUACAUUCAGUUGGGCACUCUAAUGAGACUGCCGGUGACAAGCCGGAGGAAGGUGGGGAUGACGUCAAGUCCUCAUGGCCCUUAUAGGUGGGGCUACACACGUCAUACAAUGGCUGGUACAAAGGGUUGCCAACCCGCGAGGGGGAGCCAAUCCCAUAAAGCCAGUCGUAGUCCGGAUCGUAGUCUGCAACUCGACUACGUGAAGUCGGAAUCGCUAGUAAUCGUGGAUCAGAAUGUCACGGUGAAUACGUUCCCGGGUCUU
rnacentral:rRNA from 1 species